rnacentral:rRNA from 1 species
AUCAAAAACAUAGUCGGUAGAAUGUUCAAACUCAUUAUAUUAUCGAUAUCUUCUGCCCGGUGUUUAUAUAUUAACGGCCGCAGUACCUUGACUGUGCUAAGGUAGCAUAAUCAAUUGGCUAUUAAUUGUAGUCUGGAAUGAAUGAAGGAAUGAAUAAAUACUAUAAUAAUUAGAUUAAUUUUAAUUUAUUUAGUUGGUGAAAAUACCAACUAUAAGAAAAAAGACGAGAAGACCCUUAGAAUUUUUAAAUAAUAUGAUAAUAAGGAUACUAAUAUCCUCGAAUAUCAGAAGUUUUUUGUUGGGGCGACAAGAAAACAGAUAUAAUAAAACUUUUCUAUGUAAUUACUUUAUAUGACGAAAUUAUUAUGUAUAAAUAAAUUACCUUAGGGAUAACAGCAUAAUGAUAAAUAUUAGUUUGUGACCUCGAUGUUGGACUAGGAUCUUAACCACUAACAGUGUAAAAAGAUUGUUCUGUUCGAACAGUAAUUUCC